rnacentral:rRNA from 1 species
UACGUAGGGUGCGAGCGUUGUCCGGAAUUAUUGGGCGUAAAGAGCUUGUAGGCGGUUUGUCGCGUCUGCUGUGAAAUCUCAAGGCUCAACCUUGAGCUUGCAGUGGGUACGGGCAGACUAGAGUGUGGUAGGGGAGACUGGAAUUCCUGGUGUAGCGGUGAAAUGCGCAGAUAUCAGGAGGAACACCAAUGGCGAAGGCAGCUCGCUGGGACGUGACUGACGCUGAGACGCGAAAGCGUGGGGAGCAAACAGG